GACGAACGCUGGCGGCGUGCUUAACACAUGCAAGUCGAACGAUGAAGCCGGAGCUUGCUCCGGUGGAUUAGUGGCGAACGGGUGAGUAACACGUGAGCAAUCUGCCCUUGACUCUGGAAUAACUGCGGGAAACUGUAGCUAAUACCGGAUACGACACCUUGGGGCAUCCCAGGGUGUGGAAAGAAUUUCGGUCAAGGAUGAGCUCGCGGCCUAUCAGCUAGUUGGUGAGGUAAUGGCUCACCAAGGCGACGACGGUAGCCGGCCUGAGAGGGUGACCGGCCACACUGGAACUGAGACACGGUCCAGACUCCUACGGGAGGCAGCAGUGGGGAAUAUUGCACAAUGGGCGAAAGCCUGAUGCAGCAACGCCGCGUGAGGGAUGAAGGCCUUCGGGUUGUAAACCUCUUUUAGCAGGGAAGAAGCGAAAGUGACGGUACCUGCAGAAAAAGCACCGGCUAACUACGUGCCAGCCGCCGCGGUAA
rnacentral:rRNA from 1 species